rnacentral:rRNA from 1 species
UUCUGUAGGUAAGAGGUUUGCCUACUAGAACCAGGCGGCGACUCAAAAACAAGCGCCCCGGCCAGCACCAACGUGCUGGCAACAUCGUUCAAGUGCUGAAAUUAGCAGGCGGCAGCCACUAGUAUCAGCAGCCGCGUUUUGCUCGCGGUUCACAGAUCAACCAACGAUGCCUAAUUACAGGUGAGAUAUGAUCGGUUCAGACCCUUUAUUGGGCCUUGACAUCGCGGAACCUGCGGAAGGAUCAUU